rnacentral:rRNA from 1 species
GAUGAACGCUAGCGGCAGGCCUAAUACAUGCAAGUCGGACGGGAUUCAGGAGCUUGCUUCUGAUGAGAGUGGCGCACGGGUGCGUAACACGUAUGUAACCUACCUUUAUCAGGGGGAUAGCCUCUCGAAAGAGAGAUUAAGCCCGCAUAAAAUCACAGCACAGCAUUGUGUAAUGAUCAAAUAUUUAUAGGAUAAAGAUGGGCAUGCGGAACAUUAGCUAGAUGGCGGGGUAACGGCCCACCAUGGCGACGAUGUUUAGGGGAUCUGAGAGGAUGGCCCCCCGCACUGGUACUGCGGCACGGACCAGAAUCGUACGGGAGGCAGCAGUAAGGAAUAUUGGUCAAUGGGCGGAAGCCUGAACCAGCCGUGCCGCGUGCAGGAAGACGGCCCUACGGGUUGUAAACUGCUUUUAUACGGGAAUAAACCCAGAUACGUGUAUCUGGCUGAAUGUACUGUAAGAAUAAGGAUCGGCUAACUCCGUG